UUAGUGUGGGCCAAGGGGCAAGUGUACAAUUCAUUUAAGUAUUAAAAGAUGACCACAAUUUUAUUUCACUUCAUUUGCUUCAUUCACCACACUUGAACAAAAAAAACGUUGAAGACCCUCCAUUGAAGGCUCUCGGCCAACAGCCCUGAAAAUUCACUUCCAUUUUUAGCUCUCCAAAAAUUAAUUUCUUGGUGUUAAACCACUAAUUAGAGGUCCCUAAGUAACUUGGAAGCAUUGUUGGGGUGAUCAAGUCCUUCAUUCAAGAGAUUGGAAAACCCUAGCCUAUUAAAAGUUGAAGAGAAAAAGAUCGUGGGCAGCCCGAAUCAUAGGUUGGAUUUAGCUUGAGUUUGGAUCGUAUUGGAGAGCGUUUGAGGUACGGACGCACAGCCUGGUGAUCCACCUGUUUAGGACACCCUUUCUGCUAUUCGGAGUGCUCCUCUCUUUCCGGAGCUUAUACUUUUGGUAUAUAUAUUUAUUAGUGCAUUUGUAUAUAUUCGUUCAUGGGUAAGGUGGGGCCCUGUCCAGUCAUAUGAUUCUGUCGGUCUGUUUAGAGGUCUGUGGACAUGUUUGUGGGUUAGGGUCUUUCUGUAUGGAUAGGUGUAUAUGUUGUUUGGGCGAUCCCAUACGCCGAGGCGGCCGGUCCGCAUAUGUUUAUACGUUACUUUGCUAGCCCUGUGUGGCCUUUGUUGGUGUUUGCUGUGUACAGGGUUAUUUUGGAUAGUCUGUAAAACAGAGGAAACUC